rnacentral:tmRNA from 1 species
GGGGGCGAUCGGCUUCGACGGGUGGUCGAAGGCGGUUGCUGCGUGCCGAGGACGCGACGACCUCGUGAAUCCCGUCGUGAAUCGGAACUACAAAGUGCCGAUGACAACUACGCACUCGCUGCUUAGCCGAAACUAGGUCAGCGACGCCCGUCCCUGACGCCUCCUGGGGGAUCGCGGGCGCCAUUCGGGGGCUGGCCGCCGGUCGCUGGCAGACCGCAACCGGCGGCGAGACAAAAGUCUGCCAUGGAGAGCGCCACUCCCGUCCCCGCGACGGGCCUCUCCGAGAAUGAGCGGGGACUACGCAUGUAGACGCGGCCGUUUGAAGCCAUGCGGACGCGGGUUCGAUUCCCGCCGCCUCCACCA